rnacentral:rRNA from 1 species
GACGAACGCCGGCGGCGUGCUUAACACAUGCAAGUCGAACGGAAAGGCCCUGCUUUUGUGGGGUGCUCGAGUGGCGAACGGGUGAGUAACACGUGAGUAACCUGCCCUUGACUUUGGGAUAACUUCAGGAAACUGGGGCUAAUACCGGAUAGGAGCUCCUGCUGCAUGGUGGGGGUUGGAAAGUUUCGGCGGUUGGGGAUGGACUCGCGGCUUAUCAGCUUGUUGGUGGGGUAGUGGCUUACCAAGGCUUUGACGGGUAGCCGGCCUGAGAGGGUGACCGGCCACAUUGGGACUGAGAUACGGCCCAGACUCCUACGGGAGGCAGCAGUGGGGAAUAUUGCACAACGGGCGGAAGCCUGAUGCAGCAACGCCGCGUGCGGGAUGACGGCCUUCGGGUUGUAAACCGCUUUCGCCUGUGACGAAGCGUGAGUGACGGUAAUGGGUAAAGAAGCACCGGCUAACUACGUG